UUCUCAGAGGCCACUACAGUUUGAAAAAAUUGCCAGUCUUGCUGUCCUGCUCACUUCCCAAAAUGUGACAAGCAAAGACAACCUUGUACGGAGCUCCACCAUCACAUUCUCAAUUGGCUAAGCACUGGUACAGCUCCAGAAGUGAACACAGGCAGUUGUUUCUCCCCAUAUGCUGGACCUUGAGAGAGGAACGUACCUUCGGAAGUAACCAGCGCCCUUCAAAUCCUUAUCUAAAGGAAUCCCACAGGAAACCUUGGAGCUCUUACAAAAAUUUGGACUGUCUGUUAUUUAUCAGAUUUACAAGGACACUAGUCUUUGACUAUCAAGCCAUCCUGAAGCCACUAACUGUUCUCGUCCCUUCUCCUUGCUUUUAACAGUAGAGAGUGAUAUCUUGUGCACACUAUUUUUAAAUAAACAAUCCACAACAACAGAGGAUAAGUGAGUUGACAACAGAGGUGGAUCUGCUCCAAAACUCCAGUUCUGAACGUAUCUGAACUUCAGCAAGUUCAAAGAGAAAUGAAAUACACCUGGGACAAUGGCUAAAAGGAGACCUGUCUGUCUGCAAGAGUUGGAGGAUUUUAGCAGUAUGGAGGGCUUGUAUCCAUCUCCUACAUAAAUGGAAUU